rnacentral:rRNA from 1 species
CUAAGGUAAUACCGAUGACUGGGGUGAAGUCGUAACAAGGUAGCCGUAUCGGAAGGUGCGGCUGGAUCACCUCCUUU